rnacentral:rRNA from 1 species
AGAGUUUGAUCCUGGCUCAGAACUAACGCUAGCGGCGUGCCUAACACAUGCAAGUCGUACGAGAAAGUCCCGUUCGCGGGGUGAGUAAAGUGGCGCACGGGUGAGUAAUGCGUGGAUAAUCUACCGUCAGGUGAGGAAUAACCUACCGAAAGGUUGGCUAAUACCUCAUAAUACGUGCCGAUGUUGGUCGGUUCGUCAAAGAUGGCCUCUCGUUGAAGCUGUCGCCAGACGAUGAGUCCGCGUACCAUUAGCUUGUUGGUGGGGUAAAAGCCUACCAAGGCUACGAUGGUUAGCUGGUCUGAGAGGACGACCAGCCACACUGGAACUGAGACACGGUCCAGACUCCUACGGGAGGCAGCAGUGAGGAAUCUUGCGCAAUGGGGGCAACCCUGACGCAGCAACGCCGCGUGAGUGAGGAAGGCCUUCGGGUCGUAAAGCUCUAUCAGAUGGGAAGAAAUGCAGUGGGAAUAAUACGUCCACUGUUUGACGGUACCAUCAGAGGAAGCACCGGCAAACUCCGUGCCAGCAGCCGCGGUAAUACGGGGGGUGCAA